rnacentral:rRNA from 1 species
GACGAACGCUGGCGGCAUGCCUAACACAUGCAAGUCGAACGAGACCUUCGGGUCUAGUGGCGCACGGGUGCGUAACGCGUGGGAACCUGCCCUUAGGUUCGGAAUAACUCCCCGAAAGGGGUGCUAAUACCGGAUAAUGUCUUCGGACCAAAGAUUUAUCGCCUUUGGAUGGGCCCGCGUUGGAUUAGCUAGUUGGUAGGGUAAAAGCCUACCAAGGCGACGAUCCAUAGCUGGUCUGAGAGGAUGAUCAGCCACACUGGGACUGAGACACGGCCCAGACUCCUACGGGAGGCAGCAGUGGGGAAUAUUGGACAAUGGGCGAAAGCCUGAUCCAGCAAUGCCGCGUGAGUGAUGAAGGCCUUAGGGUUGUAAAGCUCUUUUACCCGGGAUGAUAAUGACAGUACCGGGAGAAUAAGCUCCGGCUAACUCCGCG